rnacentral:rRNA from 1 species
CCUACGUGAGGCAGCAGUGAGGAAUAUUGGUCAAUGGCCGUAAGGCUGAACCAGCCAAGUAGCGUGAGGGAUGACUGCCCUAUGGGUUGUAAACCUCUUUUAUGCGGGGAUAAAGGUGUCCACGUGUGGCUGUUUGCAGGUACUGCAUGAAUAAGGACCGGCUAAUUCCGUGCCAGCAGCCGCGGUAAUACGGAGGAUCCGGGCGUUAUCCGGAUUUAUUGGGUUUAAAGGGAGCGUAGGCGGGUCUUUAAGCUUGCCGUGAAAUUUUGUGGCUCAACCGUAAGAGUGCGGCUGAUACUGGAUGCCUUGAGUGCGCGUGAGGCAGGCGGAAUUCGUGGUGUAGAGGUGAAAUGCUUAGAUAUCACGAAGAACCCCGAUUGCGAAGGCAGCCUGCUACAGCGUUACUGACGCUGAUGCUCGAAAGCGUGGGUAUCGAACAGGAUUAGAUACCCGUGUAGUC